GAUGAACGCUGGCGGCGUGCCUAACACAUGCAAGUCGAACGAAGCACCUUACCUGAUUCUUCGGAUGAUAGUUUGGUGACUGAGUGGCGGACGGGUGUGUAACGCGUGGGUAACCUGCCCUGUACAGGGGGAUAACAGCUGGAAACGGCUGCUAAUACCGCAUAAGCGCACGAGGAGACAUCUCCUUGUGUGAAAAACUCCGGUGGUACAGGAUGGGCCCGCGUCUGAUUAGCUGGUUGGCAGGGUAACGGCCUACCAAGGCAACGAUCAGUAGCCGGUCUGAGAGCAUGAACGGCGACAUUGGACCUGAGACACGGGCCAAACUCCUACGGGAGGCAGCAGUGGGGAAUAUUGCACAAUGGGGGAAACCCUGAAGCAGCAACGCCGCGUGAAUGAAGAAGUAUUUCGGUAUGUAAAGCUCUAUCAGCAGGGAAGAUAAUGACGGGACCUGACGAAGAAGCUCCGGCUAAAUACGUG
rnacentral:rRNA from 1 species